AGACAAAUGUAGCUGGAGUGACAGUGUGGUCUCUGAGGUAAACGUGAGCCGUGUGGUGCUGUCCAUGUGGUGCUGCACGUUUGGAAAGCAGAUCCCAGAGGAGGACAAAGAGAUCCCCAGAAGACAUGGAGAGCCUUACCUGGACUGCAUACACCGGCAUUACAGUGUAGAAUGGAAGACAGCAUUUUACAGAUUAUCAAUAAGGGUCCCUGGAGGAAAGUCUGCAGGAGAGGACCCGUCACUGCUGGGCCAUGGUUUGCAGAGUACUCCCUGUCAGUCAGCACUGUGCCCACCAUGAAGCAGGAUGUGCCAGGCAUGAGGGAGGAGGAUGAGUGAGAGCAAAGUACCCACAUCUGCUGGGGAGGGAUGCAGCAUAUUUGUGGUUUAUCAGUACCAAAAGUGUAAGAAGAUGAUGGGACUGUGAUAAGAACUGAAGAUGUAUUUGAUCAGAAAAAAAUUAUGAAGAUUUUAGAGCUUACAAAGAAAAUGCAAUGCUUUUCUUGGCCCUAUCCACUAAACUGUUUCCCAUAAGAAAACUUCUGCAGCCACAAUGAACUCCACAAGCAUCAGUUGUCUGUGCAUGUUCAAAAAUGUGAGCAUCUUGGCAGAAUGGUGUCCAUUUGAACUCAAGGAUGCGUACAGCUUUUCAAACCAGAGCAGCACCAAAUGGGAGAAGAGCGUGUUACGUAUUUUUGUGUGCACCUAACUGAAACUUUGGUUUAUACUUGUAUCUAGGCCAAGCACAAGAGAAACAUGCCUAUCUUACCUGUUGUGUGCUGUAUUAGUGUGGUCACUGUACUGCAAAUGACCAACUUUUCAAUAUUAUCCCUAUAUUCAGUCAUAAUAAAUAAAUAAAUAAACGUUUUGCCACAUCUUCUACUCAAAUUCAUGCAAUAUCUGUGUAUAUAUAAUAUCUGUAUGAUCCAGCUUAAGUUAAUCAGAGUAUAUACAUUAGUGUAUACACUGGUAUGUAUUACGAUUUAUAUUAAACAUCUUUAUAAAUGCGCUCUUGGCCUCUGUAUUUAAUAAAGGCAUG
rnacentral:lncRNA from 7 species